GAGGUCUUAGCUUAAUUAAAGUGUCUGGGUUGCAUUCAGGAGAUGCGAGUUAGUUUCUUGUAGGCCUUA
rnacentral:tRNA from 1 species